UCCUUAGUGGCGCACGGGUGAGUAACACGUGGGAACAUACCUCAUAGUACGGAAUAACUGCGGGAAACUGUAGCUAAUACCGUAUAUUCCAGUAAUGGGAAAGAUUUAUCGCUAUGAGAUUGGCCCGCGCAAGAUUAGCUUGUUGGUGAGGUAAUGGCUCACCAAGGCUCCGAUCUUUAGCUGGUUUGAGAGGACGAUCAGCCACACUGGGACUGAGACACGGCCCAGACUCCUACGGGAGGCAGCAGUAGGGAAUAUUGGACAAUGGGGGAAACCCUGAUCCAGCAAUGCAGCGUGAGUGACGAAGGCCUUAGGGUUGUAAAACUCUUUCAUCGGUGAGGAUAAUGACAGUAGCCGAAGAAGAAGGACCGGCUAAUUCCGUGCCAGCAGCCGCGGUAAUACGGAAGGUCCUACCGUUGUUCGGAAUUACUGGGCGUAAA
rnacentral:rRNA from 1 species